rnacentral:lncRNA from 1 species
UGGAGUCUUCUAGAUGGUAGAAAAUUGUGCGGUGUGUUGAUAUCUCUAUGUAAUCCCGACAUGUGGGCCUUUCUUCCUUAUUUCCUGAUAACCCCCUGCAGAAACAGAUAAACUACAAAACUCGUGGAAUUCUGUCAGAUCAAACCCUAAUUCUAGGUGUUGUUUGCAUAUUGGUCCUUUCUCUUGUUUAUUUGAUAAUUAAAAUUGAUACUUAAGAACCGUCAACAAAUACCCCCAUACUUAGGCUUUUACUCGUCCUCGAGAAAAGGAUGGUUAAGAACAAUAUCUGG